rnacentral:rRNA from 1 species
AGAGUUUGAUCCUGGCUCAGGACGAACGCUGGCGGCGUGCUUAACACAUGCAAGUCGAACGGUGACGAUUGGAGCUUGCUCCGAUCUGAUCAGUGGCGAACGGGUGAGUAACACGUGAGUAACCUGCCCCAGACUCCGGAAUAACCCCGGGAAACCGGAGCUAAUACCGGAUAUGAAACGGAGCCGCAUGGCUACCGUUUGGAAAGUUUUUCGGUCUGGGAUGGACUCGCGGCCUAUCAGCUUGUUGGUGAGGUAAUGGCUCACCAAGGCGACGACGGGUAGCCGGCCUGAGAGGGCGACCGGCCACACUGGGACUGAGACACGGCCCAGACUCCUACGGGAGGCAGCAGUGGGGAAUAUUGCACAAUGGGCGAAAGCCUGAUGCAGCGACGCCGCGUGAGGGAUGACGGCCUUCGGGUUGUAAACCUCUUUCAGCAGGGAAGAAGCGAAAGUGACGGUACCUGCAGAAGAAGCACCGGCUAACUACGUGCCAGCAGCCGCGGUAAUAC